UACGGGGGGGACUAGCGUUGUUCGGAUUUACUGGGCGUAAAGGGCGCGUAGGCGGACCUUCAAGUCGGAUGUGAAAACUGGCGGCUCAACUGCCAGCCUGCAUUUGAUACUGUAGGUCUUGAGUACAUGAGAGGAAAGCGGAAUUCCAGGUGUAGCGGUGAAAUGCGUAGAUAUCUGGAAGAACACCAGUAGCGAAGGCGGCUUUCUGGCGUGAUACUGACGCUGAAGCGCGAAGGCUAGGGGAGCAAAC
rnacentral:rRNA from 1 species